rnacentral:rRNA from 1 species
GAUGAACGCUGGCGGCGUGCCUAAUACAUGCAAGUCGAGCGAACGGACGAGAAGCUUGCUUCUCUGAUGUUAGCGGCGGACGGGUGAGUAACACGUGGCUAACCUACCUAUAAGACUGGGAUAACUUCGGGAAACCGGAGCUAAUACCGGAUAAUAUUUUGAACCGCAUGGUUCAAAAGUGAAAGACGGUCUUGCUGUCACUUAUAGAUGGAUCCGCGCUGCAUUAGCUAGUUGGUAAGGUAACGGCUUACCAAGGCAACGAUGCAUAGCCGACCUGAGAGGGUGCUCGGCCACACUGGAACUGAGACACGGUCCAGACUCCUACGGGAGGCAGCAGUAGGGAAUCGUCCGCAAUGGGCGAAAGCCUGACGGAGCAACGCCGCGUGAGUGAUGAGGGUCUUCGGAUCGUAAAACUCUGUUAUUAGGGAAGAACAUAUGUGUAAGUAACUGUGCACAUCUUGACGGUACCUAAUCAGAAAGCCACGGCUAACUACGUG